AUUGAACGCUGGCGGCAGGCCUAACACAUGCAAGUCGAGCGGAUGAAGGGAGCUUGCUCCUGGAUUCAGCGGCGGACGGGUGAGUAAUGCCUAGGAAUCUGCCUGGUAGUGGGGGAUAACGUCCGGAAACGGGCGCUAAUACCGCAUACGUCCUGAGGGAGAAAGUGGGGGAUCUUCGGACCUCACGCUAUCAGAUGAGCCUAGGUCGGAUUAGCUAGUUGGUGGGGUAAAGGCCUACCAAGGCGACGAUCCGUAACUGGUCGGAGAGGAUGAUCAGUCACACUGGAACUGAGACACGGUCCAGACUCCUACGGGAGGCAGCAGUGGGGAAUAUUGGACAAUGGGCGAAAGCCUGAUCCAGCCAUGCCGCGUGUGUGAAGAAGGUCUUCGGAUUGUAAAGCACUUUAAGUUGGGAGGAAGGGCAGUAAGUUAAUACCUUGCUGUUUUGACGUUACCAACAGAAUAAGCACCGGCUACUUCGUG
rnacentral:rRNA from 1 species